UUCUAAGGAAGUUAAAGAGGUCUAACAAGGAACCUAAAAUUCCUUUGAUGAGGGUUCGAUUCCUUCCCUUGGUAA
rnacentral:tRNA from 1 species